GACGAACGCUGGCGGCGUGCUUAACACAUGCAAGUCGAACGGAAAGGCCCUGCUUUUGUGGGGUGCUCGAGUGGCGAACGGGUGAGUAACACGUGAGUAACCUGCCCUUGACUUUGGGAUAACUUCAGGAAACUGGGGCUAAUACCGGAUAGGAGCUCCUGCUGCAUGGUGGGGGUUGGAAAGUUUCGGCGGUUGGGGAUGGACUCGCGGCUUAUCAGCUUGUUGGUGGGGUAGUGGCUUACCAAGGCUUUGACGGGUAGCCGGCCUGAGAGGGUGACCGGCCACAUUGGGACUGAGAUACGGCCCAGACUCCUACGGGAGGCAGCAGUGGGGAAUAUUGCGCAAUGGGCGGACGCCUGAUGCAGCAACGCCGCGUGCGGGAUGACGGCCUUCGGGUUGUAAACCGCUUUCGCCUGUGACGAAGCGUGAGUGACGGUAAUGGGUAAAGAAGCACCGGCUAACUACGUG
rnacentral:rRNA from 1 species